rnacentral:rRNA from 1 species
UUUUCCGGUUGAUCCUGCCGGACCCGACUGCUAUCGAAAUGGGACUAAGCCAUGCUAGUUGAACGUUUCUAAACCAUGUAAGAAGCGUAGCAUACGGCUCAGUAACACGUUGUUAACCUACCCUGAAGACAAGGAUAACCCCGGGAAACUGGGACUAACCCAUGAUAAAUCAAGAUGCCUGGAACGGAUUUUGAUUAAAAAGAAGAAUGAGCAUGUUCAUUUAUUCGCUUCAGGAUGGGACUGCGUCCGAUCAGGUUGUUGGUGGAGUAAUAGCCCACCAAGCCUAUAACCGGUACGGGCUUUGAGAGAAGGAGCCCGGAGAUGGACACUGAGAAAAGGGUCCAGGUCCUACGGGGCGCAGCAGGCGCGAAACCUUCGCAAUACACGAAAGUGUGACGAGGCUAUUUCGAGUGUUAUCCGCUGAGGAUAACUUUUGCCAAGUGUAAAAAGCUUGGAGAAUAAGGGGAGGGCAAGUCUGGUGUCAGCCGCCGCGGUAAUACCAGCUCCCCGAGUGGUCGGGACGAUUAUUGGGCCUAAAGCAUCCGUAGCCUGUUCUGUAGGUCUCUUGUUAAAUUCAACAGCUUAACUGUUGAGCUGCAAGAGAUACCGCAGGGCUAGGAGGCGGGAGAGGUAGACGGUACUCCAUGGGUAGGGGUAAAAUCCUCUGAUCCUUGGAAGACCACCAGUGGCGAAGGCGGUCUACCAGAACGCGCUCGACGGUGAGGGAUGAAAGCUGGGGGAGCGAACCGGAUUAGAUACCCGGGUAGUCCCAGCUGUAAACGAUGCGAGCUAGGUGAUGGAGUGGUUCCGUACCAUUCCAGUGCCGCAGGGAAGCCGUUAAGCUCGCCGCCUGGGGAGUACGGUCGCAAGGCUGAAACUUAAAGGAAUUGGCGGGGGAGCACCACAAGGGGUGAAGCCUGCGGUUCAAUUGGAGUCAACGCCGGGAAUCACUAGU